ACUCCUACGGGAGGCAGCAGUGGGGAAUAUUGGACAAUGGGCGAAAGACCUGAUCCAGCCAUGCCGCGUGUGUGAAGAAGGUCUUCGGAUUGUAAAGCACUUUAAGUUGGGAGGAAGGGUUGUAGAUUAAUACUCUGCAAUUUUGACGUUACCGACAGAAUAAGCACCGGCUAACUCUGUGCCAGCAGCCGCGGUAAUACAGAGGGUGCAAGCGUUAAUCGGAAUUACUGGGCGUAAAGCGCGCGUAGGUGGUUCGUUAAGUUGGAUGUGAAAUCCCCGGGGCUCAACCUGGGGAACUGCAUUCAAAACUGUCGAGCUAGAGUAUGGUAGAGGGUGGUGGAAUUUCCUGUGUAGCGGUGAAAUGCGUAGAUAUAGGAAGGAACACCAGUGGCGAAGGCGACCACCUGGACUGAUACUGACACUGAGGUGCGAAAGCGUGGGGAGCGAAACAGGAUUAGAUA
rnacentral:rRNA from 1 species